rnacentral:rRNA from 1 species
AUCGAUGAAGAACGCAGCGAAAUGCGAUACGUAAUGUGAAUUGCAGAAUUCCGUGAAUCAUUGAAUCUUUGAACGCACCUUGCGCCCCUUGGUAUUCCGAGAGGCAUGCCUGUUUGAGUGUUAUUGAACCCCUCUCAACCCUUGGCCCUUGAGCGGUCGAGGUUUGGAUUUGGAGAGUGCCGGCCAAGUUUGGCUCCUCUAAAAUGCAUUAGCGAGCGACGCUUUCAUGCGACUGCUUUGGCAUUGAUAGACCUGUCUAUGCCUAGGUGCCGCUGGCGGGUUUGCUUACGAGUGGUCUCCUUUGGGGGACAAAUGCAACCUUUAACAAUCACCUCAAAUCAGGUAGGACUACCCGCUGAACUUAAGCAUAUCAAUAAGCGGAGGAAAAGAAACUAACAAGGAUUCCCCUAGUAACUGCGAGUGAAGCGGGAAAAGCUCAAAUUUAAAAUCUGGCGUUCCUUUCGGGCGUCCGAGUUGUAAUCUAGAGAAGUGUUUUCCGUGCCGGACCCGUGUACAAGUCUCUUGGAAUGGAGCGUCGUAGAGGGUGACAAUCCCGUCUUUGACACGGACUGCCGGUGCUUUUGUGAUGCGCUCUCGAAGAGUCGAGUUGUUUGGGAAUGCAGCUCAAAAUGGGUGGUAAAUUCCAUCUAAAGCUAAAUACAGGCGAGAGACCGAUAGCGAACAAGUACCGUGAGGGAAAGAUGAAAAGAACUUUGAAAAGAGAGUUAAACAGUACGUGAAAUUGUUGAAAGGGAAACGAUUCAAGUCAGCCGCGUCGUCCAGUAAUCAACCCUUUGCGGAGGGCUCACUUUCUGGUUUGACGGGUCAGCAUCAAUUUUGGCCAUCAGACAAAGGUGCGAGGAAUGUGGCAUCUUCGGAUGUGUUAUAGCCUCUUGCUGCAUGUGAUGGCCGGGAUUGAGGAACUCGACACGCCGCAAGGUCGGGGCCUUUUUUGGCCCACGUAACGUGUCUCGGAUGCUGGCGUAAUGGCUUGAACCGACCCGUCUUGAAACACGG